rnacentral:rRNA from 1 species
GCCUACACAUGCAAGUCGAGCGGAACGACACUAACAAUCCUUCGGGUGCGUUAAUGGGCGUCGAGCGGCGGACGGGUGAGUAAUGCCUAGGAAAUUGCCUUGAUGUGGGGGAUAACCAUUGGAAACGAUGGCUAAUACCGCAUAAUGCCUACGGGCCAAAGAGGGGGACCUUCGGGCCUCUCGCGUCAAGAUAUGCCUAGGUGGGAUUAGCUAGUUGGUGAGGUAAUGGCUCACCAAGGCGACGAUCCCUAGCUGGUCUGAGAGGAUGAUCAGCCACACUGGAACUGAGACACGGUCCAGACUCCUACGGGAGGCAGCAGUGGGGAAUAUUGCACAAUGGGCGAAAGCCUGAUGCAGCCAUGCCGCGUGUAUGAAGAAGGCCUUCGGGUUGUAAAGUACUUUCAGUUGUGAGGAAGGGUGUGUAGUUAAUAGCUGCACAUCUUGACGUUAGCAACAGAAGAAGCACCGGCUAACUCCGUGCCAGCAGCCGCGGUAAUACGGAGGGUGCGAGCGUUAAUCGGAAUUACUGGGCGUAAAGCGCAUGCAGGUG